rnacentral:rRNA from 1 species
UACGAAGGGGGCUAGCGUUGUUCGGAUUUACUGGGCGUAAAGCGCACGUAGGCGGAUUGUUAAGUCGGGGGUGAAAUCUUUCGGCUCAACCGGAAAAUAGCCUUCGAUACUGGCCGUCUGGAGGGAGGUAGGGGCGUGUGGAACUUCCGGUGGAGCGGUGAAAUGCGUUGAUAUCGGAAGGAACUCCGGUGGCGAAAGCGACACGCUGGAUCUCAUCUGACGCUGAGGCGCGAAAGCCAGGGGAGCGAACGGG